rnacentral:antisense_RNA from 1 species
GAACUUGUGUGCUUAGGCCUUACGCUGGGAGGAGAUGCUGCCACCUAGGUUACUUGUAGGACCCUUUACGGCAACCUCCCUUGCCAGGAACUAUUUAGGAACAUUCUGGCCUCCUUAAAUAUACACUUCUCUAUAGUGUAUGCUAGAAAUGGAGUGGCUGGAAUAAAAGUGGCUGAAUCAUCUUCAACUCUAGUAGCUGAGACCAAUGAUGCUGACCUCCCUCUAAAAGCUGCAUUUCUGAAUUUCUGAAGGCAAACUGUCUGCCUAUAUUGUACAGCAAAAUAAUUUCCUGUAUUAAAACGUUUUUUUGCUCUAAAUUCCUAGGUUAAACUCUGCUUAGAUAUUGCUAAGAGGGUAGCCAAGUAUAGAAACUUAAAUUUACUGACAGAAAUCUAGAGAAUGCUUAAUUAUUUUUCCAGCAGUGAAGUAGAAGAGACAGGGAUAUCCCAGAAGGUUAUGCAAAACAUCAAGAGAAGAUGAGAGGGUAAGGUUUAUAGACUGAGUUAUUAGAAAAAUGCACAGUGGGGUUUGGGUUGCAUAAAAACAGGGUCUAUGGGUGUGUAUUUAUAAGUUCACACAUGCACACACAAACACAUAUAUGUACACAUACGGGCAGCCCUCAACGUUCUCAUGAUUGGCUUUUGUACAUUAUUUUUCAAUUAUUAAUACCUCAAAAUGUGUUUAUAUAGAGAAAUUGAACUUUAAUGCAUCACAAAAGAGAAGAGACUUCAAUUUCUAGUUCAAGAAAUGAGUGAGAAAGG